rnacentral:rRNA from 1 species
GACGAACGCUGGCGGCGUGCUUAACACAUGCAAGUCGAACGGAAAGGCCCCUUUGGGGGUACUCGAGUGGCGAACGGGUGAGUAACACGUGCGUAACCUGCCCUUGACUUCGGGAUAACUUCAGGAAACUGGGGCUAAUACCGGAUAGGAAUCCUUGCUGCAUGGUGGGGGUUGGAAAGCUUCGGCGGUUUUGGAUGGACUCGCGGCUUAUCAGCUUGUUGGUGGGGUAGUGGCUUACCAAGGCUUUGACGGGUAGCCGGCCUGAGAGGGCGACCGGCCACAGUGGGACUGAGAUACGGCCCAGACUCCUACGGGAGGCAGCAGUGGGGAAUAUUGCACAAUGGGCGGAAGCCUGAUGCAGCAACGCCGCGUGCGGGAUGACGGCCUUCGGGUUGUAAACCGCUUUCAGCAGGGGCGAAGCUUGUGGUGACGGUACCUGCAGAAGAAGCACCGGCUAACUACGUG